CACAGUGCUCCACGAGCUGUCUGUCCCCAAAGCCAAGGCCACUCCAAGGAAAGAAGCAGCAUCUGGAAGCAAAGCAAUGCGAUCGAUACCCGGGUGUUUACCGGCCGCCACGUACUCCGCCCUCGGGCCUCCACGGCGGCGGGGUGGGGAGCCAGCAGGCGCCCAUGCCUGCGGCCGCCGCUACCAUCCCACGUGGAGGACCACCUGUGCUGGCUAUCCUUCUUGGGAGUCCAACCCGGCCACUCCAUGCACGCCC
rnacentral:lncRNA from 1 species